rnacentral:rRNA from 1 species
AAUGGCUCAUUAAAUCAGUUACGGUUUAUUUGAUGACUCGUGACACGGAUAACUGGGGAAAUUCUUCAGCCAAUACGUGCUUCUAAGCCGACUUUGUGGAAGGUGAGUAUUUGCUCGAUUCUGAACCAACCCAGAUCUUCUGGGCUUUAAGUUGAGCGGAGAGUAAAUCUGUCCAAUCGCAUUGCACCGCGAUGCGAUGCAUCAUUCAAGUUUCUGACCUAUCAGCUUCCGAUUGUAGGGUAUUGGCUUACCAUGGCGAUGACGGGUAACAGCGAAUUUGGGUUCAGUUCUGGAGAGGGAGCCUGAGAAACAGCUACCACAUCUAAGGAAGGCAGCAGGCGCGUAACUUACCCAAUUCUGACACGGAGAGGUAGUGACAAGAAAUAACGAUACAGGGCAUUCAUGUCUUGUACUUGGGCUGAGUAGAAUGUAAACGACUCUAUGAGUAUCAAUUGGAGGGCAAGUCUGG